AAAGGAAUUUAAAGACUUUGCAGUGAAGUAAAGAUGGUGUUUCAGAGUUCGUACAUUCUCUCAAUCAAACUCAUUUCUCUAACGCCGGUACUUUGAGUGUAUAUGAGAUUUUAUGAUGAAAACAAAUGAACCACCCCAAAUUCUAACACUAGAAACUCUAUUUAUACUAAUACGAAAUAAAUGUUUCCUAACGUUUCAUUCUUCAACUUUAGCCACGUAGACUUCUGCGUGCAUUUCGCCCUUGCAUUCCCUUCACGUGUCUUCAGGAUAAAACUAAGAAGUAGUUAUUGAUUUUUGAACAUAACACUUUUGCACGCUCAGAUAACUGUCACUUCGAUGCGCUUGUCGUUGUCGAAAUGUUGUUGUCGAACAAUCUUUCAAACACAUUCUAGAAAAUACUAAGUCUCAUUUUUCUCUAUUUGAGAUUUCUACAAUGUACACGUCAUCAAACGAUUCACUGCCCUUGACUUAUGUUCAUGUUGAGAUUUUUUCUUAUGUUGAAAAUCUUAGCUAAAGAGUGAUGACUAGAUUGCGUGUAAGAUUUUUUUUUGGAGAAAAAGUUAUUGUUUUUUGCUGUGAUUUUUGACAAAUCCUACCGAUAACUCUUAGAGGAACUAGAUUUGAUAUUGUGCAUGCAACAAUAAACGCUUCAUAUAUUUAGGAUAAUUGCAAUGUUCUUAUUCUAACAUAAAACAUGUGACUUUAAACUGGCUCAAGUUCUCCCAC
rnacentral:lncRNA from 1 species